GAAACUUCUUCUUUUUUGCAGAUCAAAUAAUUUAACAUUUACAUUAAUCUGUAUACAGUUUUUUUAUUUUAAUAUAUUUUUAUGUUCUGUAUAUUUUAAGCUAAAUGGCAAAAAAAUGUAGUUCAAUCUGCAUCACAUAAAAACUACCUAAUCUAUUCUGAUAAGACGCCAUGGCUUGUGGCAAUCGUCGCUCAGCCCAUUGUUUGUUAUUUUCUUUCAACCAUCUUUCACUUUUUU
rnacentral:lncRNA from 1 species